AAAAGAAGGCGCAGCGGAGCGGGCCCUGUCCAGCAAGUAUAUCUAUAACGCCAGAAUGGCAAAGAGACACAAUAGUGGAAUGAAUUUUAUAAGUGCAAAAUAGCUGCUUGGCUGACUCAUUGACUUGGUCCACCCGGACAAAACUACAACAAUUCACAACAUUUACUGGCAUUUUUAAAGAAUUACUAUAGUUAAACCAAUGUUUAAAUGGCUGCUGUGUCAGGCUGUGCUGGUUGUUAAAACUUUAUGGCUAUUUUGUAAAAAAAAAGAAAAUAUGAAUAAUUCUAAAUUUGGCAUUAUUUCUUAAUAUCCCCUACAAUUCCAUUUUAGAAAAUUUGCGUAUCAUUUUUUUUUUCACUGAGAUUUUGAACUUUUUUGAUGAGAUUAUUAGUAUGAGAUUAUUUUGAGAACAACCGUCGGCGUUGGUACUGCAAACAUGCUAAAUUUUUGAUGUAGAAUUUUAAGCGCAGUUUAAAAUCACCCGCACGGAAUUCGAUUUAUUCAACAAAGAUCUCAUUGCUUUGACGGAAAAAUUCGCUAGAUAUAAUAAUAUUUUUGAAAAUGCGUCCUGAUUGGAAAAUUAGGAACUCGUUGCGGAAACGUAAAAAACCUUCUGUAGUUACGAACGAUUCUUCUGCCACAAAUAUUGAUACAAAUUCUAACAAUGCAUCAAAGAUUACGUUGAACAUUGCUUCAUCCAGUUCAUCAAAUGCAACUUUCAAACCCGCUUACAGCUUCGACGCCUCUUUUGCUGCAGCUUCGACAAUUCAACCCCUUCCGGUAGUAAUAAAUACCACAUUCCGUUAACCUCAACUUUAACAACUAUACCUCCUAAACAGCUACAGGUAAUUUCAUCCAAAAACACUGUUUUCUGAAAUAACCAUUGAAGAUGUCUCUAUCUAUAUAAAAUCGAAAUUUAAUGCAGAAGUCUUUAAAUUUAAAUACCGGGACAGACGAAGCAAAGCAUCAUUUGAAAAUAUUGCUCCUGAGGAAAUUUUUGCCACUGUAGUAAAUCCAACUUUUUGGCCGCCUAAAGCACUUUUAGGGAAUA
rnacentral:sRNA from 1 species